rnacentral:ncRNA from 1 species
GAGUGACAGCGGCGGAGAGAACAGGCGGAUCGUAAAGACGCCGUAAAUACAUCCUUGUGGCUCGAGCCGCGCCCUCCCUGGCGCGGACGCUUU